AGCUGGAGGCUUCACCGGAGAGCCCCAGCCGGGGCCGCGGGGCCUUUCUCAGCGCCGGCCUGGCCUGGUGCGGCUGCUCCGUCGCUCUUCUUACCCCUCGAGCUGGCGAGCUGCGAGCGCAACCCGAACCGGGCCGUCGGCAGGGCGGUGCGCGCAGGACCGCCCCGCCCGCGGCUGCCGCUGCCCGGUUCAGGUGCACGCCGGUGCCGUUCUGCAGACGAGCGGUUUCGAUGGCGUAUCGGUGGCCCGGCAGGACCCGAAGCGGGGCUGGCGGCUGCCUCUGUGCCGCGGUGGUGGCAGGUUCCCUCCAGGCUGGUCGGUGGCGCGGCAGCCGCGGGGCCCUCGGAAGGCGCAGAGCAGCGCGGGAGCGGCCUCCUCCUCCUUGCCCAGCCCACGGCCCUCAUCUUUCCCGGCGACGGGGUGGCCGCCCGGGGCCUUGUGCGGGAGCAGCGCCUGGGGAGUGCAGUGGGGGUCUUACAGGUGGGACUUGGGGGGGCCUAGUCAGGCUGGCCGGGGCCCUGCGAUGGAUGUAAAGGGUUUCUGUCGGAGCAGCACUUUGUUACUGCUCUGCUCCUGUAACUCGGUGAACUUUACUAGUAAGGUUCAAAACAAAUGCUUCCAGGGAACUUUUAACGCAGACCUGGAUUUACAUUGUCUUAUGUUCCUCUUACGGUACCCUGGAGCACCUGUUCUCCUUUAUUGCCCAAUACUUGGUCGGCGUCGCAGUAAAUAGUCAUAGUUUUUCAUGAACUCUGAAUUUUGUGGUUUAUUUUUUUCUAGGUUUAAGAAUCUACAAGUGACCCUGAAGUUAAGUUGUAUACUGGUUCCCCCCAACUUGCCUCUGAUAUUUAGGGUGGGGUAGGUACUAAAAUACCUGAGAAGACAGAUAAUUUUUGGUCCACUGAAAAACUAUGCAAGUUGGAAAAGCUUUGUCAGGAUGAUGCAAGUGCAUUGGUCAAGUUCCUGACGUGAGUUACUGGAAUUGGGUACCACCUUUUUUUCCCUGUUUAUUUGAUGGAGUUAUGAACAGAAACUGGGAGGCUGGAGACUGUGAGAAAAUUUUGGUUUAUGCAGCAGUGCCCAAACUGAGACACCAGAUGUGAAAUUCACUGAAAGAAAGGGGUACAGAGUUGCCUGAUAUGGACUUUGCAGCAGAGAAGCAGAAGUGGUGACUUCAUGUGUGCAAGUUGAGAUGGGAAGGAGAGAGGAGCUGGUCAAAAAGAGAGCCAUGAAAAACUGAGAGUACUAAAAGUGUAGAGGUAGAGUAGGAGCCUUUAGACAUACGGUAGGAGAUUGGGCCAGGCAUAAUGGUAUUCCACAGUGUGUUUCUCAGAGGAGCAAAGGGGCCCUGAAGCAGAAGGAAAAUCAGGGCUGUUCAGGAAGGUGCUGUAAGAAGGUCCCAGGCUUGUUCCAGUUUCUGUCCCUUGCCUAGAGAAUUCCCAGCAGAAAAGAGUUCAGCCUACAGACAUGGGGGUUGCAGGUGCAUCAAAGGCAGCAGCAGUAGAAAUGGAUCCCUUGGAAGUGAAGAGGGCUAUGAUACUGGUUGCUAAGAACAGGUUUGGCUGAAUAGAGAGAAUGUAAAAUUAAUUUAUGCUUAGAAACAAAGCAAAGUGUUGAUAUAGAGAGUAGAACAACUUUUAUGAGGACCACAAUGGUUUGCAAGUGUUUGGAAGAUUUGUUCAAAGUUUGAAGAUACAUAAUGGCUUGAGAUUGUGCUUGAGAAAUCAGGGUUGCAUGCAGUGUGUGAAGUUUGGAUGCGUGUCUUAGGACAGUGAAGGAUGCCUCUCUUGGUCUGGAGUUUGGUAGAAGAUAACAGGAAGGAUUGCCACUAUGACAUGAUAAUUCGAGAUCUGUCAGUUUUGUGGUAAUGUGAGGGGUGAGGUUUUUGGUGGGACAAAGUGGAUUCAAAGUCUGUAAGGGUGGUAGAGAAGCUGUAACUGUGGUAUUUUGGAGUUGGAGGGCAGGAAGGUGUGAUGGUUUCCAGGCUGAUCACUGUUGGUGCUGUGAGGUACUGGACAGAUAAUGGAAUAAAAUGUUUUACUUGCCUUCCAUUUGCAAUGUUGGUCUUUUCCAGCAGAAUGGUGAAGAUUAAUCUAGUCACACAACUUCUAAUGGGAAAAAAGUUCAACUAUUCAUUGGAGUAUUGUGCUUAUGAUGCACACACUAUCCAAACUGAAGUUUGGACUGCUUUGCUCUACUGUAGGCUGCAAGUUUGUUUCUUAAGUACUACUCUAAAGAUGCUUCUGCUGCUGUGACCAUAAGUUCAUUCAAAAGUGAUUAUGGUGAAAGGAGACCUUAGCAUGCAGCAAAUUAGAUCUCUGUUGUCCAAAGUCUGUUGAGUGAGAUGUUUUGUGUUGUCUGGGGGCUUUUAAACGAUCACAUGUCAGUAUAUAGUUCCAUUAACACUAAAACUGUGCAUGCCAAGCCUCCAGUGGCCAUUGCUGUUGAUUGAAAGUACAGCUUGAAAACGUGUCUGCCAAGUGAAAGGCAAAUAUCAAAAAUUACUUUAGCCUUGAUCUUGAAGAGCCAAGCGGGUGACAGGGAAUUCUAAAAUUCUUUUCAGUGUUAUGAGACUUUUCCUGUUUCUUCUUACAAACUGCCAGGAAGUUUGUGAAGGAAGGAAUUAAGACUUUAGAAGAUGAGCGAAUAAUGAGCACAGGCUGACUCAUCGUCAGCAAACAGGGCUGAAGUAAGCUUUCUUGGGUGCCAGUGCUUAGCUUUUCUAAUGACUCCUGUAGACAGCAGCAUGUUAUCUGAGGUUGCAGAGGCCAAGGUAGGUCUCAUUCUUUUUGUGUGAUCUAUGGGUUUUUUUCAGCAACACAGGUUUUGUGUCGUUGGAUUCAGAAUUCAGUAGGCUUUAUCUCUACCUUGAAGGGAUUUCUGAAUGACUUCUUGGAUGGCUCAUGGAGGAUUGCUUUAACAAGAUUGCAUUGUGUUCCUUGAUGAUCCAUUUCUGAAAUGGCCUGCACUCUGACCAAAACACUACAGAGGCACAGAGUCAGGCCAGGGGAUAAGGAUUAUCUCCCAACUAGUCCAAAUUUCACCUCAGAAUGUACAAACAGGUAUGUGUCUUUGCAUUACUGUGAAGUACUUCUACGCCUUACUACCAGAAUGGUGCAUAUUUUGAAAUUCAGCAGAAGAUAUGCAAUCUCAGACAUGUAUUGCAGCUUCUUCCAUGUCUCUCUCUUACUGUAAUAGUGACCUGUUCUCUUUGACCAACAUGUUUUAAGGAGUUACAACCACUUCUUAUGUCUACGUAUUUUAUGUUAUGAUGUCAUUGCAGAAAUACUUAGUUGCUUACUCUUAUCCUUCCCUCCUUUUACUUUUCUCCUCAUCCCCCUCCAAUAAUUUGUUUUACUCUAACAAGCUUUAAGUGUAAGAACUGGCUGAAUAAAGCAGUGACUAAAGAGAAACUCAGUAUCUCUUUAUGCAGUUGUAACCCUUUGGAGGAGAAACAAAUAUCCUACUGUGGUUUGUAACAUUUCUGGGAUACCUCUGGAAAAUAUUCGUGACAUUUUGAACAUUUUGUGAUUUUAUUUUAUUUUUUUUUAUAGAGUCAUGAUUUUGAAAGCUCAACACUCAACUAAGAAACAAGUUUUGCUAUUUCUAAUGAAAGUUAUCUGAUGACAUAGAUAUCAGUGGAACAUUUUAUUAUGUCUUCACAGUUAAAAUUUUGUUAGCUUUUUCUAAAUAUUGAUGCAGCAUAUUUUUGUGUUCAGAUUUCAUGUAGCAGCAGUGAUGUACAGUGCUAAUGCAAGUCAUUCCUGAACAAGUAAGAUACUCAUGAUUUGUAGAUUACUUUUUUUUUUAAAUUGUGUUAUCACCUUUCCUAGCCAAAGCUAUUGCAUCAAGCUGUAGAACAACUAGGAAAAAAUCUAUUUUGUCACAGAUAUGCUGUCCAAAGGUGAAAACAAGUUCAUGGGUGACUGCCAGUCAGCUCUGUGUCCAGACACACAUUGUCAUUAAUGAAUGUGGAUUUCAGUAACUUCCUAAAUGAUGACCUACAGUCAAAGUCCAAGUUAAGGUAGAGAUAAGCUAUAGUAACAUGCUGUUGAAAGCUUUAACACUUUCUUCAAAGUGUUUUGAUUUUCCUUUUUGGUUUAUUAUACUAUGUAUGAGUCAUAAAUCCUUUUGAAACUGUUAAAAUUCUGUAUUACAAUUUCAUUCCUGUUUGACAAGCAUUAUCUAUUAUUAGUUUCUCAAGAAUGCACAUCCUGGCAGAAGUGCAUGUAUUCAGAGAUGUGUAUUUCUAAAGAUGGUUUUGAUGUGAUGGCACAUCAAUCAAACCAUAUGAAACCACCUCAAAUCUGUUUGAUUUCAUUUUGAAUUUCUUGCUUGCUUUGCUUCCUUGCAGAGUGUCUCUCAGCUACCAAAUAAAGACAGUGUAUCCACCAAGGAGAAAUGAUAUCUGGGUAAUCCUCCAAAGGAGGACACUUGAAGAGAAGCAGCUGGACACAGUAGUACAGUAGUUCAUUUCAGUCAUUUUCUUUGAGGCAAGCAUCCAAGUACAGGAUACAUCAAAAAGGAAAGUUGUAAACUGAAGCUGUGGAGAGGCUUGGAUGAGGGUGCUGGAGUUGGAAGAAAUAAAAAGCCAGAAAACAGGCUUCAGAGCUGAGCUGCUGUGACUAAGGUUUGUCCUCAGUCUGAGGCAGGGAAGUUCCUAAUAGCUGGAGUAAAUAGCCCCAAACUGAGAUUCCUAAAUAGCUAUAGUUAGGGAAAAUAGCUGAACUGAUUUUUGUAUGUCCUCCCCUUCACUGUCUUAUUAUCUUAACCAUAAUAAAGAUAAAUCCCUCGAUAGAUUGCUUUUGAGCAGCCACUGAAGCACCUGGGUUGAUUCAGGAUGUGAAGCAAGCUACAUUCUCUCAAGGAUUAAUAGGGGAUAGUUUGAUUGCUUUUUUACACUUCAUUAGUAAAUUGGUAUUUGCUUCUUGAGAAAUGGUUUUCAUGGGAGUAGAGGCGUCAGCUCUGAGACCAUGCAAAUUGUAGGUAGUUGGUAUCUCUGAACAGUGAGAUCUUCCCCGUCAUGAAUUUCAUCACAUUAGUGUCUACAGUCUUAAGCUAUGGAGCAGGAUCCCUUCAUAAUUAGCGCUGUAGAAAUCCAAGGACAAAAGCUGGUAGUUCCUGUUCCAAAUAAUUUACCUAAAUAUAAGGCAAGAAAUAAGAAGAGAGAAUGAAGAAAAAAAGAUGAGAGCACUGGACAUCAUGAGAAGCAGUGGUUUAGGUUUACCUAACAAGCGAGCAAGUGGCAGUAGUGAUCAAACACUCCCCCUCAAACAAAAGAUUAUUAGUGUUGAUAAUCUAUUUAUCACUAAUUAUAAUUAAUAAUCAAUAGUUAAAGAGAGUUAAAAACUCAGGCGACUUGCACAAAACAUCUACCUUCUUUUUCUAUGAGUUUCACUAGACAAUAAAUUAAGAAAUAAAUUGAAGGUUUCAAGCAUUAUAAAAAUUCUUUCAGAGUCUCUUAUGAAUCUUCCAAGUAAUGAUUUUAAGGGUUUAUCUGUAUUAUACAAAUCCAAUUUUUGCAAAUGCACUCUUGCUGGCAUUGCAGGAGAUGUAUUUCUGCAACAGAUAAUGAAUAGCAGCGGUUGUGAAUGGGGAGGUGUUUUAAUUGUUUUCUGCAUUAUUUAAGGCCUUUUCCCUGUGAUGUCAUGUUCUUCAAUUAAAGAAAAAGGAGGAUGAAGGAAAAACGGUGACAGGCAUCAGCAUCUUCUUCAUCAUCUCACAGCUUUUGUAAAGAGAUUAGAACAUACAAAGUCUGAUCCUGAUAUAAUUUGAGUCAAUUGCAAACUCUUGCUGCCUUAAAAAUUGGAAGACUGUAGGACUGAGCCCUAACUGAGCUGUGUGCUCAAAGGGGGCAGGCUUCUUUGAUGCAUGAUUUAAAUAGAUGAACUAAUUGAUUUGAGGGAGUAGGAGACAAGUUAGCUACAGUGGGCCAGUGAAUCUUGUUCCUAACACACUGAGGGAGUGAGAGCAGGCAGGGUGAGGAUAUGAGAAGAAGAGAAGGAAAAUCCCCUCUAACAGGAGUGAUGAGAAUCCCAGUCAACAUCUGCAAUGUUUAUCCUAUUUUUCAUGUCUGAUUUUACAGGCUAAACUAAAAGGUCGAGGACAGAAAAUGAAAAUGCAGAUGUUCAACUUGUUACUUUACUCUGCUUUGAAUGACAUGAAGAAAACCACUUCACAAAGUGUUAUAAAAUAUUUAGAAGUUCUUAAACAGGAAGUGAGCCUACCCACAAGCAUUAGCAAUUAUUUUUCUCUCCAUGUUUAAAAAAAGGACAGAAAAUACUACAUCUACAUAUUUCAAAGUACUUCCAAGUGGUCACAAAGUUUGAUGCUUAUGGUGUGUUAUAUGGAUUUAGGAAUACUUUUAAUGAUGUAAUACAGAUGUAGGGAUGCUUUUAAUGUUAUAUAAACAAUAGCUGAGGAACAAUUCCUAUCACCUUUCUUCCUUACCUCUGGGAUAGAAUCUUCCAGUACACUCCUGCAUUGCUAAAAUUCAGAUCACUUUUCUGUUUGGGCUGUUCUUGUUUUAAUAGAGAGGAUAGAGGCUCUCUCUUCACACAGACCCACAUGGAGAAGACAAGGGGCAAUGGGUACAAGGAGCAUCAGGAGAGUUUUCAUCUCGAUGUAAGAAAGACAUUUUUUUACGGUGAUAACAGCCAUUCACUCUAACAAUCUCCCCAGGGACAUGGUAGAAUCCCCAUCACUGGAGGUUUUCCAGAUGCAGUUGGAGGGUGCUAGAUAAUGUUGUCUAGGCUCCCUUUCCCAAGAAAAGUUGGACCGGAUGACUUCAAGGUCCCUUCCAACCUGGGCUGUUCUGUGAUUCUAAUAUUUCACCCAUUGUAUUGCAUUUGCGUGGCAAGGUUUUGGUAGUGGAGGGGCUGCCACGGUGGCUUCUGUGAGAAGAUGCCAAAAGUUUUCCCCAUGUCAGACAGAGCCAGCAGUUCCAGCCAGCUCCAAGAUGGACCUGGCCAAGUCCAAGCCCAUCGGCGAUGGUGGUAGCGCCUCUGGGAUAACAUAUUUAAGAAGGGAAAAAAACCCCGGACAACCAACUUCAGCCGGAGAGAGAAGUGAGAAUAUGUAAGAGCAACAACCCUGCAGCCCCCAAGGUCAGUGAAGAAGGAGGGGGAGGAGAUGCUCCAGGCACCAGAGCAGAGAUUCCCCUGCAGCCCGUGGUGAAGACCAUGGUGAGGCAGGCUGUCCCCCUGCAGCCCAUGAAGGUCCACGGUGGAGCAGAUCUCCACCUGCAGCCCGUGGAGGACCCCAUGCCAGAGCAAGUGCAUGCGCCCUGAAGGAAGCUUUGGACAGUCGGACUAGAUGAUCAUUGUAGGUGUUACAGAAAUUACGCAUGCCAGCCACCGUAACAGGGUUCGACUCUAGGUUUCAGCAUAAGCCAAAAGAUAGAUACCUUUAUGAAAGUACUUUUUAUUAAUAGCGCUACAGCUCAAGCUGGGUGCCUCUGAAGAGGGACCCUGAACAAAGAAAUCCCUGGGCAAUUAUACCCUUACAAUCUAAGUUCCCCACCCCUCACUUGAUAGUUCGGACCAAUAGUAAUGUUAAGGUCUGAGGUCUUCUUGCUUUUUUAUUGGUUUGAUUAUUUGCUGUUUCGUUACUAAGCAGUUGCUAAGUGGUCAUCUUCUUGUACAAUAGCACAUCCUCUUAGGUCGGUUUCAGCCAAUUCUGUAGUUAGCUAUUCAGUGUGUUGUAACACAGUUGUUACGGUUCAUAUACCAUGAUCUCUAGGCUUUGUCUACUCUAGCUAUUAUUAAUAUUUAAGCUGCUAGCUUUAAGUUUCAACUAACUUUUUCUACAACAGUAGGUCCCUUCCAACUGAAAAUAUUCUAUUCUAUGCUAUUCUAUUCUAUUCUAUUCUAUUCUAUUCUAUUCUAUUCUAUUCUAUUCUAUUCUAUUCUAAUUCUGUCACCCCAUGGAGAGCCCACGGUAGAGCAGGCUCCUGGCAGGACAUGUGGCCCCAUGGAGAGGAGCUGACAUUGGAGCAGGUUUUCUGGCAGGACUUGUGAUCCUGCUGGGGACCUGCGCUGGAACAAUCUGUUCCUGAAGGACUGCAGCCCACAGAAAGGACCCACGCUGGAGCAGUUUGUGAAGAACUGCAGCCUGUGGGAAGGACUCACGUUGGAGAAAUUUGUGGAGGACUGUCUCCUGUGGGAGGGACCCCACACUGGAGCAGGGGAGGAGUGUGAGGAGGAAGGAGCGGCAGAGACAACUUGCGAUGAACUGACUGCAACCCCCGUUCCCCACCUCCCUGCACCACUCAGGGGGAGGAAGUAGAGAAGUUGGGAGUGAAGCUGAGCCCAGGGAAGAAGGGAGGGGUGAGGGGAAGGUGAUUUAAGAUUUGUUCUUAUUUCUCAUUAUCUUGCUCUGAUUUAGAUUGGUAAUAAAUUAAAUCCAUUUCCCCGAGUCAAGUCUGUUUUGCCCAUGACGUUAAUUGGUGAGUGAUCUCCCUGUCCUUAUCUUGACCCAUGAGCCUUUUGUCAUAUUUCCCACGCCCCAUCCAGUUGAUGUUGGGAGUGAUAGAGUGGCUUGGUGGGCACGUGGCAGCCAGCCAGGGUCAACCCACCACACCCAUCAGAACAUUACUGGAGCAUAUUUAAGACAGUCUCUUGGGACUAGCAGUUGCUUUAUGCAAGCCUGUCUUUCCCCUUCAUUUCCCCAGAAGAAUGAGACUUUAAAGGGUUUUAUAUAGUUUAAUUUUUACUUUAUUUAUAUAAUACCUCUCUGUUUA